AGGGCACGCCCCCUGGCGUCGUGGGGCCGCAGCGCACGCCCCCUGGCGUCGGGACGCCGCAGGCCACGCGCCCGGCAUCUUCCACGCCAGCCCUCAGCCACUGCUUCUUCUCGCCGCGGAUCGGGUCCCGGGUCUGUGUCGUCCUUACCAACAGCGACGGCCAGUCCGCAAAGGUGGGACGGGUGUCUGCAGAGACCCGUCCGUGGGAGACGCGGUGGCCUCUGGUGGCCCUGGAGUCGCUCCCGGAAACCGAAUCCUGACCGUCCCGAACCCCCAGCGGUGGAAUCCGUGGCGUCGACCCCAGUGACGACGGCAGGAGAGCGGGGACAGGCAGGCACGCCGCGCACCGCGCGGGACAGAUAGGCCGGAGCCGCAGCCCCGGGCACGAGUCUCGGCGACGGGAGGUGAGCGCGAGCGGAAGGAAGGUGGAAGGCGAUGUCGCCGGCACACAGACGGCAGGAACACACAGAUUGUUUCCAGGUGCCCCCGCGCAGCCACGGCUUCGGUACCGGGCUUCAGACGCCAUCCGUGAAUUUGGUGAUACAAUUCAGCCAUAAAGCCACGAAGGCUCUCAGUAAAGCCCGAGUCGGAGAAGGAAGGUGGGCACACAGGGCCUCUUCCCCUGAGCCGCUCCUGCCCCCCAGGCAGCAGGCUGUCCAGAGCGGAGCCCUGCAGGCAAGUGAUAGCCGGGAAAGGUCAGCCGUGGUGCAGACAGAAGCGUCCAGGACACGACUCUGUCGCUGCUGCACAGCCAGAAGUUAAAACAGCGGGGAUUGCACGGACAGAAACUAGUUUAUUUACUCACCUCGGCUCUGUGCCAUCGAACACGGAAGAAACCACCCGUCCCCUCCUUUCUGAGAUUGUUCCUGUGGCCCGAAAACCAACCAUCAAAAUUGCGGCCCUACUCAGAUGUCUAUACACAUGUCCGCUGCCCAUCACCCUGCAGAUGACACCAACCAGGAUUAUCACAGGACACGACAUUUAUCAGAGGACACGACUGUGGGGAAACAGGAGGGGGAGGCCCAGGGGACUGGUGGGCAGACAGUGGGCAGGGCUGGACCUCGAGAGAGAGGACUAGGGGCAGGGAUCUGACACCUGGGGUGUGUGGAGCCCCGUGCCCACAGCUGCCCCCUCCCGUUUCACUCCCCUCCUGCACUGACCGCUCAGCCCCGGCCGAGAGGAGGAUAGGGCCGAAACGGCAGACGGUUCCUUCACGCAAGCCUGGCCGACACAGGCCGUGUCUCGUCCGCCUGAGCGCCUCGUUUCCACGGCUCAUUCUUCAAAGCCCACCAUGGCGGGAGAAAGCACCUGUGAGGAAGGAGCUCGAACCAUCGGGUCUCAGGGGCCCUGAGGGCUGCAACACAGCAGGGUGGACGCCAGCGAGGACAGGUGAACCAUCGGGUCUCAGGGGCCCUGCGGGCUGCAGCAGGGGGUUGCCGGCAAGGACAGGUUGCACAGGGGCCACGGGAGGGUCCCGCCAAGGCCGGCCGGGUGCCCUAGUGAAGGCGGUGGGCUCCCCUCCUGCCCACGUGGGCCUCCCGGGAAACGCUGUCUUGUAUAACGUACGCCCCACCUUUUCCUAAUUGGAAUGCACACGUCUGACGGCAAAGUUCCCGCACAGUAAGACCGUGAGUAUGGAGAUGGAGCCCAUCGGCCUCGUAGGGAAGGAGGGACUUUGUCUGCGUGACUCCGUUCCUGGCUCCCCCGGCACCUGGACCAGGCCAUCAGGAAUGAACCGGGCCUUUCAAUUAAACGUGUUCAUGAAGCAUUUCUGGGGACCUCCAGGACCUCUGGGACAGUGACCACCUCCUCCAGACAUGCUUCUAUUUCCCGCCGAGGCACCUCUGCACAGGGACCCGAGAGCAGCAACUACGAUUUCCCAGAGGCGGGCCUCUCGCCGACACGCUGAUGUCUCCGUGCUCAGAGGAAGUCAUUCCCAGGCAGCAACGACCAGAAGAUAUUCAAAUAACCCCACCAGUGCCACGGAGGAGGGGACUGACGUGCCACAUCACCUCCCGCGAGGGGCCCGGGCACAGGGGGGGAUCUGGCCUCACUCCCAGACGCCGCCCCAUCGUUCCCACAGCCGAGCCCCAGCCCGGCGGCCCCCAGCCCUCCUGGGCCUCCUCGGCCUCCCCGGGCUCUUCUGACGUGAGGACUGGGCCAGGGGCCUAGGGGCCAGGGCGGCUCAUCAGAGCCAGGACCCAGGACCGAGAGGACUCUCUGCCGGGGUCCUCGCCCCUUGCACCUGCAGUGCCAACCUCAUCAGCCUUAGACCCCUGAAAUGGUGUCGAAACAGGGGCAGCCGUGACCUUGGGCACCGACCCCGAAUGCCACGUCUUCGCCCUACGAGCCUGUCACUCACAUCAUAACCCACGAACCAUCCGACGUUCAGGGGGCAAAACCCUGUGAAUCGGGGCCACAGAGUCACCACAAAACACUGAAGAAAGGGGUGCCCAGGUGGCUCAGUAGGUUGAGCGUCCAAAUCUUGAUCUCUGCUCAGGUCGUGAACCCAGGCAGGGUCAGGGGAUCUCUCUCUCUCUCUCCCCGCUCCCCUGCUCACACACGCUCUCUCUCUCUCUCUUAAAUAAACAUCUUAAAACAUUUUUCUUUCUCUUAGCAAUCUGUCUGGAAGAGCAAAAUUUUUAAUUGUUUUUCAUCCAAAUGACUUUUAAUGCACGUUGUCAAAUAUUACAGUAACACAAAAAAUAAAAAAGACAAAUGUACUUUCCAAGAGUCACCGGUAAUAACGCAAUCGUUAUUGAUUAGAGGCCAUAAUCGGGAUGGGGUGGGGUGAGGUGGCUUAUCAACGGUUUGUUUCCUGCUUUUUUUCCCUCUGUUUCUCUCUCCUCUUUCGAUUCUCUCUUUUCCUUGUUCUGUACCUGCUCGGCGUGCUUUUCCAGACCCUUUCUGUCCCGGAGGAGUUCCUCUAAUUCACCCCAUGACGGCGGUUCUCAACACUGGCUCAAGCGACUGUCAUGAGGGUGGGCGUGGUGGGGAGGACGCGACCAGAGACUCUGACUUCAUUUUCCCGGGGCGGAGUCCGGGUAUUUACGGCUUUGAUGCAGGCCAAUGGAGAGCCGAGUGGUCUCCAAACUUUCUCCCUUAUACACUUGAACAUAAUUUUGAAAACUUCUGUUUCACGUGGCACGCUUUAAAGUUGAUAUCUGAAGUGUCUUGACAUAAGUUUAAAUAAUAGCUUCAAAUACUCUAAUUUUCUACAUAUUACAAAUACUGAUUUUUUUACAUAAAGCAAAUAAAUUAUGACAUGAUUCCAAUGAAACAAAGACUGUGGGCUUUGAUUCCUAUCUACCAUUAUCCAUUUAAGAAACAGAUGAAUGAGCCCUCCUUUAACAGUUGGAAAUUUCCAAGUUUUCCUUUGGCUUCCUUGAACUCUGACUUCCAUUCUGUUUCUCUCACAGAAAUUUAGGUUUAUUGAUUAUUUCUUCAUAUUUCUCUGCAACAAGAAAAUAGCUGUGAAUGGAAAUGUAACAUUUUAAAAUGUUUCCAAAGGCUCCAAAUUAAAAUCCUCCCCCCCAUUGAAUUACUGUUAAAAGUCCUAUUAGUGUGGAGCUGACAUAAAUAUAUUACAAAUUUUGAUAAUUCGUGAAUCUUAAAAUAUUAUUUUACUGGAAAUGAAUUUUCUAACGAGAUGUAUGGAGCUUUAAAAAGGCCAGUUAGCUUAGUAUCCUUUAACGUGUGAUACUUAACGAUAAAAUGGAAUGGGGUCCAACAUCAGUAAUGCCCCAUUGUCAGUUUUAUAGGUGUAAAUGCUAAUCCUGUUCGUGUAAAUAACGAGAUUGCUAUUAUAAAGAAUAUUGUGGGGCACCUGGGUGGCUCAGUCGGUUAAGCGUCCGACUUCAGCUCAGGUGACCAUCUCAUGGUCUGUG